UCUCUUGCUCUUCUUGUCUUUGGACUGCCUAAAGAGACCUGGGCAGCGGCGUUCAUACCAAAGAAAAUGUCAAACAACAAAACUACAGCAGAAGCAGAGAAUGAAACAAAAGUCCCAUUACUGGACUAUUCAUCAAAAAGUAUAGUAGGAGAAGAAGCAAAUGAAGAUCAAAGUCUUGCACGCAGAACUUGGAUUGAAUCCAAGAAACUAUGGCGAAUUGUUGGUCCCGCCAUCUUCAGCCGCAUCGCUUCCUACUCCAUGUUCGUUAUUUCCCAAGCCUUCGCCGGCCACCUUGGUGAUCUUGAGCUCGCUGGCUUAUCCAUUGCUAGCAGUGUCAUUUGUGGCUUCGAUUUUGGCCUCUUGCUAGGGAUGGCAAGUGCAUUGGAAACUCUAUGUGGGCAAGCUUUUGGAGCAAAGAAAUACUACAUGUUGGGCGUAUAUUUACAACGAUCGUGGAUAGUUCUUCUCUUAUGUGGAGUUUUCACGUUACCUUUGUACAUAUUUGCAACUCCAGUUUUGAAGCUGCUGGGACAACCUGAUGAUGUUGCUGAGCUUUCUGGGACUGUGGCUUUAGCUUUUAUACCACUCCACUUCAGCUUUACUCUUCAGUUCCCUCUGCAGAGAUUCUUGCAGAGUCAGCUGAAGAAUAAUGUGAUUGCCUGGGUGAAUUUAGGCGCCUUUUGUAUUCAUGUGGUCUUGAGCUGGCUGUUUGUUUACAAGCUCCAUUUCGGAUUGAUGGGGGCUUGCGUUAUUUUGAAUCUUUCUUGGUGGCUUAUUGUAAUUGGUUUGCUUGCUUACGUUUUCUGUGGUGGUUGUCCUCAAACAUGGUCUGGCUUUUCCUUUGAAGCAUUUUCUGGUCUUUGGGAAUUUCUAAAACUCUCUGCUUCUUCUGGGGUCAUGCUAUGUUUGGAGAAUUGGUACUACAGGAUACUCAUCGUGAUGACUGGAAAUUUGCAGAACGCAGAGAUUGCAGUUGAUGCACUGUCUAUUUGCAUGAACGUCAAUGGAUGGGAGAUGAUGAUUCCUCUGGGAUUCUUUGCAGGAACAGGAGUAAGGGUUGCAAAUGAAUUGGGAGCUGGUAAUGGGAAAGGAGCCAAGUUUGCAACAAUUGUAGCAGUAACACAAUCAAUAGUGAUUGGUCUAUUCUUCUGGCUACUGCUUAUAUUCUUCCACAGUGAAAUCGCCUAUGUAUUCACUACCAGCCCGCCUGUGUUAGAAGCAGUACACCAGCUCUCAAUUCUCUUAGCUUUCACUGUUCUCCUCAAUAGCGUGCAGCCCAUUCUUUCAGGGGUUGCUGUGGGCUCCGGAUGGCAAUCAUACGUGGCAUACAUAAACUUGGGUUGCUACUAUUUAAUUGGCGUGCCGAUGGGAUCUGUGAUGGGAUGGGUUUUCCAUUUUGGAGUAAUGGGUAUGUGGGCUGGAAUGAUUUUUGUUGGAACUGCAAUUCAAACGACGAUAUUGGCUAGGUAUGAUUGGGAGAAAGAGGUGGUUGAAAAUAUCAUAUGACAUGAAUUUCCCAGAUUAAUCAUUUAAUCUUUGUUUUUUUCUUCCACCUUUAAUUUUAUUUCUGCUGGAAUAAACAAUUCCACUUGAUACCUAAACUGGCUACUUGUGGAAAACAGGCAAAGAAGGCAAAUAUGCAUGUAGAGAAGUUGGCAGAAAGGAGUAACACUUCUGGAUAGAACUCGAUCCAAGUGAAGAGAUCAUCGUGGGCGGAGGGUAGCUGGAGCAGAAUCAUCUAUGAAACUUUCUGCAAAAGGUUUUCUGCAAAAGAAUAAAAAAUUUUAUUGGGUUAAUUAAAUUGACUUUUUCAAUCUGAAUGAUUGUGCAACCCUAUUAAAGCUUUUCUAUUUAUUAGUUAUUACAGUAAUUAGAAUCUUUAUAACUAGGGCCUUCAUGAAGUUGCACAAUCCAUGCAUUCGAUAGAAAGAUCUAUUGGAUUGAAAAUUAUUUGGGAAAUUUUUUUUCUAUAUUUAAUACACAACGGAUCUUCUGUCCCA